UCCUACGGGAGGCAGCAGUGGGGAAUAUUGCACAAUGGGCGCAAGCCUGAUGCAGCAACGCCGCGUGAGGGACGAAGGCCUUCGGGUUGUAAACCUCUUUUAGUAGGGAAGAAGCGACUGGGUUUUCCUGGGAGUGACGGUACCUGCAGAAAAAGCACCGGCUAACUACGUGCCAGCAGCCGCGGUAAUACGUAGGGUGCAAGCGUUGUCCGGAAUUAUUGGGCGUAAAGAGCUCGUAGGCGGUUUGUCGCGUCUGCUGUGAAAACCCGAGGCUCAACCUCGGGCCUGCAGUGGGUACGGGCAGACUAGAGUGCGGUAGGGGAGAUUGGAAUUCCUGGUGUAGCGGUGGAAUGCGCAGAUAUCAGGAGGAACACCAAUGGCGAAGGCAGAUCUCUGGGCCGUAACUGACGCUGAGGAGCGAAAGCAUGGGGAGCGAACAGGAUUAGAUACCCUGGUAGUCCAUGCCGUAAACGUUGGGAACUAGAUGUGGGGACCAUUCCACGGUCUCCGUGUCGCAGCUAACGCAUUAAGUUCCCCGCCUGGGGAGUACGGCCGCAAGGCUAAAACUCAAAGGAAUUGACGGGGGCCCGCACAAGCGGCGGAGCAUGCGGAUUAAUUCGAUGCAACGCGAAGAACCUUACCAAGGCUUGACAUAUACCGGAAACGGCUGGAAACAGUCGCCCCGCAAGGUCGGUAUACAGGUGGUGCAUGGUUGUCGUCAGCUCGUGUCGUGAGAUGUUGGGUUAAGUCCCGCAACGAGCGCAACCCUCGUCCUAUGUUGCCAGCACGUAAUGGUGGGAACUCAUGGGAUACUGCCGGGGUCAACUCGGAGGAAGGUGGGGAUGACGUCAAAUCAUCAUGCCCCUUAUGUCUUGGGCUUCACGCAUGCUACAAUGGCCGGUACAAAGGGCUGCGAUACCGCAAGGUGGAGCGAAUCCCAAAAAGCCGGUCUCAGUUCGGAUUGAGGUCUGCAACUCGACCUCAUGAAGUCGGAGUCGCUAGUAAUCGCAGACCAGCAACGCUGCGGUGAAUACGUUCCCGGGCCUUGUACACACCGCC
rnacentral:rRNA from 1 species